CCUUUGACGUUAGCGGCGGACGGGUGAGUAACACGUGGGUAACCUACCUAUAAGACUGGGAUAACUUCGGGAAACCGGAGCUAAUACCGGAUAAUAUUUCGAACCGCAUGGUUCGAUAGUGAAAGAUGGUUUUGCUAUCACUUAUAGAUGGACCCGCGACGUAUUAGCUAGUUGGUAAGGUAACGGCUUACCAAGGCGACGAUACGUAGCCGACCUGAGAGGGUGAUCGGCCACACUGGAACUGAGACACGGUCCAGACUCCUACGGGAGGCAGCAGCC
rnacentral:rRNA from 1 species